AACGCGAAGAACCUUACCUGGGUUUGACAUACCAUGAAAAGCGCAGAGAUGCGUAAUAGUCGCAAGACACAUGGAUACAGGUGCUGCAUGGCUGUCGUCAGCUCGUGUCGUGAGAUGUUGGGUUAAGUCCCGCAACGAGCGCAACCCUUUCCCUUAUUUGCCAGCAUUAAGUUGGGCACUCUAGGGGUACUGCCGAUGAUAAAUCGGAGGAAGGUGGGGAUGAGGUCAAGUCAUCAUGGCCCUUAUGUCCAGGGCAACACACGUACUACAAUGGCCAAGACAAAGCGAAGCAACACCGAGAGGUGAAGCCAAUCGCAAAAACAUGGUCUCAGUUCGGAUUGUGGUCUGCAACUCGACCACAUGAAGUUGGAAUCUCUAGUAAUCGCAGAUCAGCAGGCUGCGGUGAAUACGUUCUCGGGCCUUGUACACACCGCAUAC
rnacentral:rRNA from 1 species